ACCUCCCUCAGUCAGACUGCACAGAGACUGCACUGCUGCAGCUGGGACCUACUGCAGGUGCUGAGGGGGGAGGCACUGGUCUGGGACAGCAGUACUGCCAACUGGGCUGUAGGGGGCAACAAUGAGCCACAGCUCUGAAUGCACACCUCUCUGUGCUGAAGAGGAGCUGCUCUGUGUCACACACACUGAACCCAUAGCAGAGCUGCUGCUGAACCACACACACUUCUGUACCACAACAUCACAGGCAUCAUACAGUACAUCAGCUCACAAGCAGCAAUCAUCUCCAUAUUGCUCUUGAGUUCAGACUAAUGCAGAGGAUGUGUACAUUCUCCCAGAGGUGGAAUGAGAGUGGUUUCAAAUGAAUUGCUUCCAGAAAAGAUAUUAUGAGUUUGUAUUCAAUGCAUACACAAUAUUUAUUAUAUGAAAGGUGUUUCUGUUCAAAUGGGAUCCAGGUUUAAGCUCGGCUGUGCUGGACUGAAUCAUAGUAUCAGAUUUUUACAGUUCUGUUCAAUUGUCUUUCAGUAUUAAUUUUGGUUUCAGUUUGCUCUUCCAUCAUACUUACCUCCAUUACAUUUUCCAUAGACAGUAUGUGCUUACAUGGAGGCAUAAAGACAUGGAGGCAUAAAAAAUUUUCAUAUAGUUUUGUUGGACGUAUUUACCUGUAGAUGUGCCACACAGUUACUGCUUCCCCUAUCCAAUAUACUUCUCUGCUUCCACCACCAGUGAAUACCUUCUGUGGUGACACUAAUGAAUCAGAAGUUAAAGAAUGGACACAACCCACCAUUCUCAUCAGACUUUUACAAGAUAUAAUGCAGUGUGCAGGCACGUUUGAGAAGGAGCUAAUCGGAUUAAAUGUCUCACUUCAGGAAGUUCCUAUUGACAAAUUAGGAUGACUGAAACAGAACUCAUUGAAGCUAUUGAUUUUAUUAUAAUGCUGAAUACUAUAUCUGCAAAUUGUUUUAGCAUGCAACAUGCAGAUAGCAAAUAUAAACAACUUUUGGUUAAAAUAAAAUGUUCUACUUUAAA